GACGAACGCUGGCGGCGUGCCUAAUACAUGCAAGUAGAACGCACAGUUUAUACCGUAGCUUGCUACACCAUAGACUGUGAGUUGCGAACGGGUGAGUAACGCGUAGGUAACCUGCCUGGUAGCGGGGGAUAACUAUUGGAAACGAUAGCUAAUACCGCAUAAUAUUAAUUAUUGCAUGAUAAUUAAUUGAAAGGUGCAAUUGCACCACUACCAGAUGGACCUGCGUUGUAUUAGCUAGUAGGUGAGGUAACGGCGCACCUAGGCGACGAUACAUAGCCGACCUGGAAGGGUGGACGGCCACACUGGGACUGAGACACGGCUCAGACUCCUAAGGGAAGCAGCAGUAGGGAAACUUCGGCAAUGGGCGAAAGUCUGGACGCGGAACGCCGCGGGAGUGAAGAAGGGUUUCGGAUCGUAAAGGUCUGUUGUAAGGGAAGAACGGGUGUGAGAGUGGAAAGUUCACACUGUGACGGUAUCUUACCAGAAAGGGACGGCUAACUACGUG
rnacentral:rRNA from 1 species